rnacentral:rRNA from 1 species
GACGAACCGUCCUAACGUUGUUCGGAAUCACUGGGCUUAAAGGGCGCGUAGGCGGCUUGCCAAGUCAGGGGUGAAAUCCUGCAGCUUAACUGUAGAAGGGCCUUUGAUACUGGCGAGCUCGAGGGAGGUAGGGGUAUGUGGAACUUCCGGUGAAGCGGUGAAAUGCGUUGAUAUCGGAAGGAACGCCGGUGGCGAAAGCGACGUACUGGACCUCUUCUGACGCUGAGGCGCGAAAGCUAGGGGAGCAAACGGG